GUAGGCUAAUAUGCUGAAGGCUAGCUGUAUUGGGUGCAGAUGAUAAUAUGUAGGGGUAAUAAUAUGCUGAAGGCUAGCUGUAUUGGGUACAGAUGAUAAUAUGUAGGGGUAAUAAUAUGUUGAAGGCUAGCUGUAUUGGGUACAGAUGAUAAUAUGUAGGGGUAAUAAUAUGCUGAAGGCUAGCUGUAUUGGGUACAGAUGAUAAUAUGUAGGGGUAAUAAUAUGCUGAAGGCUAGCUGUAUUGGGUACAGAUGAUAAUAUGUAGGCUAUAAUAAUAUGCUGAAGGCUAGCUGUAUUGGGUACAGAUGAUAAUAUGUAGGGGUAAUAAUAUGCUGAAGGCUAGCUGUAUUGGGUACAGAUGAUAAUAUGUAGGCUAAUAUGCUGAAGGCUAGCUGUAUUGGGUACAGAUGAUAAUAUGUAGGCUAAUAUGUUGAAGGCUAGCUGUAUUGGGUACAGAUGAUAAUAUGUAGGCUAUAAUAAUAUGCUGAAGGCUAGCUGUAUUGGGUACAGAUGAUAAUAUGUAGGGGUAAUAAUAUGUUGAAGGCUAGCUGUAUUGGGUACAGAUGAUAAUAUGUAGGGGUAAUAAUAUGUUGAAGGCUAGCUGUAUUGGGUACAGAUGAUAAUAUGUAGGGGUAAUAAUAUGCUGAAGGCUAGCUGUAUUGGGUACAGAUGAUAAUAUGUAUAAUAAUAUGCUGAAGGCUAGCUGUAUUGGGUGCAGAUGAUAAUAUGUAGGCUAAUAUGCUGAAGGCUAGCUGUAUUGGGUACAGAUGAUAAUAUGUAGGCUAUAAUAAUAUGUUGAAGGCUAGCUGUAUUGGGUACAGAUGAUAAUAUGUAGGGGUAAUAAUAUGCUGAAGGCUAGCUGUAUUGGGUACAGAUGAUAAUAUGUAGGCUAUAAUAAUAUGCUGAUGGCUAGCUGUAUUGGGUACAGAUGAUAAUAUGUAGGCUAAUAUGCUGAAGGCUAGCUGUAUUGGGUGCAGAUGAUAAUAUGUAUAAUAAUAUGCUGAAGGCUAGCUGUAUUGGGUACAGAUGAUAAUAUGUAGGGGUAAUAAUAUGCUGAAGGCUAGCUGUAUUGGGUACAGAUGAUAAUAUGUAGGGGUAAUAAUAUGUUGAAGGCUAGCUGUAUUGGGUACAGAUGAUAAUAUGUAGGGGUAAUAAUAUGCUGAAGGCUAGCUGUAUUGGGUACAGAUGAUAAUAUGUAGGGGUAAUAAUAUGCUGAAGGCUAGCUGUAUUGGGUACAGAUGAUAAUAUGUAGGGGUAAUAAUAUACUGAAGGCUAGCUGUAUUGGGUGCAGAUGAUAAUAUGUAGGCUAUAAUAAUAUGUUGAAGGCUAGCUGUAUUGGGUACAGAUGAUAAUAUGUAGGGGUAAUAAUAUGUUGAAGGCUAGCUGUAUUGGGUACAGAUGAUAAUAUGUAGGGGUAAUAAUAUGCUGAAGGCUAGCUGUAUUGGGUACAGAUGAUAAUAUGUAGGCUAUAAUAAUAUGCUGAAGGCUAGCUGUAUUGGGUACAGAUGAUAAUAUGUAGGCUAUAAUAAUAUGUUGAAGGCUAGCUGUAUUGGGUACAGAUGAUAAUAUGUAGGCUAUAAUAAUAUGCUGAAGGCUAGCUGUAUUGGGUACAGAUGAUAAUAUGUAGGCUAAUAUGCUGAAGGCUAGCUGUAUUGGGUACAGAUGAUAAUAUGUAGGGGUAAUAAUAUGCUGAAGGCUAGCUGUAUUGGGUACAGAUGAUAAUAUGUAGGCUAUAAUAAUAUGUUGAAGGCUAGCUGUAUUGGGUACAGAUGAUAAUAUGUAGGCUAAUAUACUGAAGGCUAGCUGUAUUGGGUACAGAUGGUAAUAUGUAGGGGUAAUAAUAUGUUGA
rnacentral:lncRNA from 1 species